rnacentral:rRNA from 1 species
GCCUACGGGGGGCAGCAGUAGGGAAUUUUCGUCAAUGGGCGCAAGCCUGAACGAGCAAUGCCGCGUGAACGAGGAAGGUCUUCGGAUCGUAAAGCUCUGUUGAAGGGGAAAAAGAGCGGAGAGAGGAAAUGGUCUCCGGUUGAUAUUACCCUUCGAGGAAGUCACGGCUAACUACGUGCCAGCAGCCGCGGUAAUACGUAGGUGGCGAGCGUUAUCCGGAAUGAUUGGGCGUAAAGGGUGCGUAGGCGGCCUGCUAAGUCUGGAGUGAAAGGUACCGGCUCAACCGGUACAGGCUCUGGAAACUG